rnacentral:rRNA from 1 species
GUCGGCUUGAGCCCCACCAGUUCUUCCCCAAAUCUUGCAAAACCUAACCCUCAACCCCGACCACGCCGCCGCCGCCACCACCAACCACUCUACCGCAGCGCCGGCUUCCUCCCCAAACACAGUCGCCGCCGACCGCCUAGUCGUCGCCGAGCACCCUUCGCCGCUUCGUCCCCAUCCCCCGCGCACCCAGCGCCUGCUUCCUCCCGAGGAAUGCCGCCGACCGCCCUCCAUCCCCACCACAACAGCGACCUCCUCCACAGGUUUCCUCCGCCGAGCAGGCCUCCUCCUCCUCAAGCUUUCUCCCCCGAGCAGGGCCUCCUCCUCCACGAGCAUCCUUCCCCGAGCACUAAGUUGGGCUGCCUCCUGGUUCCCUCACCCGAGCAGCGGACCUUCCUGUACGGCCCCUCUCCCGAGAAGCUCCACCUCCUCUACAUCCUCCCCAAGCUGAGAAUGACUUAUAAGUUCAUGGCAAAAGCAGCAACAUGAGUACGCAACCACAAGCAAGCUGAGGGGGUAAUAAUCUUGGUAGUCAAGUCUUAGAUUCAGUAUUUUGCUUUUUGGAUACAUGAACAUUGAAACUUAUUUAGCAUUUCAUUUCUUAUAUGCUUCAUGCAAAUAAAACUGCAGUAAACAUAUGAGCCGAGAUUUUGCUCGGCAUGUGUAUGUAUGCAUGCCCUAAAUUUGCUUAGCAUUUUUAUGCAUACAACUAUUGGAAGCUUUUACAUGUCCUGGAACUGACCUUUUGCAUGCCAUGUGUUUUCUGAAGCUGAGUCUUUUGUUAUUGGCUAGUACUUGAAACAGAGUCGCAGGCCUCCUGCCAUAUAACCAUUUAUGAAGUGCAUACGUGAUGCCUUAUCUUGUAUUCCUACACAUAGUCCAGUAUUUUUUUUCAUGUGUAAAAAGUGGUUGAUCUGGCAUUACACUGUUAAGUAUUUUGUACACAUCAGGAAUCUUGUUGUAGAUACACACUGAGCUGAAAAUGUUGCUAGCAGAAAUAGGUUUUCUGUUAGCUACGCAUCUGGUUUAAAACAUGGUAUGACUACUUGCUUUGGAAUAGUAACGCCUUGAUAUUAUCUUAUCCUAUCUCAUGUAUAUUUUAGUUAUUUCUAGACAAAGCUUUAGGAACCGAGUUCACUACAACUCGAAGUCUUGUGCAUGGAGGAGAAUUUAGAUAUUUGCGCAUUCUGUACUAGUCAAAAGGUUGGCAUCACGGUUGGAAGAUCUCUGUGCUACUCUCUACACGAUGUUUCUUCUACAUGAUAGCACUUGACGUCUACAUGAUAGCACUUGAAGUCUACAUGAUGUUUCUUGUAUUCAUAGUUCAAACCAUUUGUUUAGCUUAGUUUGAACAAAAACUAUUAUUGUCUUGCAUGUAAAUAAUGUUUACUAAUGUAGCUGGAUGCUACUGAAUGCAUGUACGAAAGUCAAAAUACUAAAGUGUUAGUCAUUAAGUGUUUGAGAACUGCUGUUGAAUCUUGAGUGAAUUCCUGUAUGAAUAGAAAUCAAAAGAAAUA